GUCAUCGGUCAGCCUGUCAUUGUCCUCAGGAUCUACAUGGAAGUUCCUAAGGAUGGUACCACCCUGCAGUGUCUGUGCUGCUGCUCUGAGCGAUACAGAAGUUCCUCUUCCUGCAAAUCGACAAACACCUCCUCUUCACAGCAGCCAGGCUUGGGGCAAUGGGAAGC
rnacentral:lncRNA from 14 species